rnacentral:rRNA from 1 species
CAGCAGCCACGGGAAUACGUAGGUGGCAAGCGUUGUCCGGAUUUAUUGGGCGUAAAGCGAGCGCAGGCGGUUCCUUAAGCCUGAUGUGAAAGCCCACGGCUCAACCGUGGAAGGUCAUUGGAAACUGGGGAACUUGAGUGCAGAAGAGGAGAGUGGAAUUCCGCGUGUAGCGGUGAAAUGCGUAGAGAUGUGGAGGAACACCAGUGGCGAAGGCGACUCUCUGGUCUGUAACUGACGCUGAGGAGCGAAAGCGUGGGGAGCGAACAGGAUUAGAUACCCCUGUAGUCCCUGUCUCUUAUAC